rnacentral:tRNA from 1 species
GGAGGGGUGGCAGAGCCUGGUCGAAUGCACCGGUCUUGAAAACCGGCGUGCCCGCUGUGGCACCGGGGGUUCGAAUCCCUCCCCCUCCGCCU